UCUCCCUUCCUCUUUCUAACCCCCCACCUGCCCACACCCUACUGGCUUCCAUACACCAUCUGGCACAAGACAAGGAGAAAGCUGUCACUCUAAUUUCUUCCUGGAUCCAAGAAGAGGACAACAAAGAAUCCCCAAAAGGAUGCAGGUGAUGAUUUACCCAAGAGGAUACUCCAUCUGUCUGUCCCUAAAGCAUGCUCAACAGUAUAAUUACAUGGUGCUUGCCUGCUGCAAGUUCAAGCUUUGGAUCACUCAGCUAUUUCUUCUUCUCUUGGGGAAUCCUAGAAGGAUGCAAUGAAGGAAACAGCACUCUCCUGCUGUUGAAGCCCUGCAUCCAGUAUUCAGAGGUAUACUAAACCUCUGAACUUGGCUAUUAUAAUGAGUAGUUGUUAUAUUAUUUUAUUGCCUCAUUUGCCACCUUUCUGUUAGUGAAUGACACUUCUGCUUGCUAUCAACAACAUUCAAAACAAAUUAUAAACAAAUGAGAUGAUGAAAUAAUUAAAGUAUCACCACAAAGUCAUUUAAAUCACAAUAAUAAUAAAAACGGUUUAAAGGACCUAUUUGAAGAAACAGAUCUUUCUUCAAUAAAUCCAACUAUAUCUUUAAAACUAUUUUACUUAGUAAUAGCCUCUCUAGAUCGUGGGUCAAUGCCUCAAUUUCUCCCUACAGCAUUGAGUCAACAUUUCUCAUAAUAAAACAUUUGCCAUUAUUUAUGUAAUUCAGAAUAAGUUUAGAUAGUGAUUACUAUACAACAGUUUUGCUGGAUCAAAGCAAAGGUGCCUCAUUUUUAGCAGAUUCUAUUGCAAAACCAGAUGUCACUAGGAAGCUCAUUAGCAAAAUAUCAGGGCCAUGUUCCUCUUCCACUAGAUUUUUUUUAAAAAGUGAUCUAUGCUAGCAUUGUUGUUACUGGAUGCCCUCAGAGCACAUGAAUUCUUACAUGUUCUGAGCAUGUAUGGCAAUGAUUGAACUGGUGAUCUUGCUAAUAUAUAUGUCUUAAGCCAGUGGUUCUCAACCUGUGGGUCCCCAGAUGUUUUGGCCUACAACUCCCAGAAAUCCCAGUUUACCAGAUGUUAGUAUUUCUGGGAGUUGAAAGCCAAAACAUCUGAGGACCCAUAGGUUGAGAAUCACUGUCUUAGGCAAAUUGGAUUCAGUAAACCAUAUUCACACAGAGCUCUUAAAGAGGUAUUUUGUUGAACAUACAGUAAUCAAUAAACACAAUAAUUGCAUGGGGUGGUGGGGUGGGGGAAUAGCAGAUAUUGUAGUAGAACUCCAUAAAUGGCAAAUAGUGUAUGCAGAAUACAUACAAGCAUCAGCACCGUUUCUUUAAGAUGAGAAAAUACUGACUCCCAGUGAGCAAAUUUGCAAGUUUGAGGGUUUACAAUUUAGCAAUGUGAAGCUUUAAAUGUUGCUAAGUGAAGGGAUUGGAGAGAGAAAGAAAGAGGUUGAAGAGUAAGAACAAUGCAAUACCAUCCCAAGACCUCACACAAAAACACCAAAGAACGAGGAGAAAAAUGGGAAGACCCUGGAAAUGAGAAUAGAUAUCCCCCCGCCCCCCCACACACACACACACUGCCAGAUGGAUUUUAGAGAUUUAAAAAGAUACUUCUCUUUGGUCUUGUUGAACCUUCCUUGGAAAAAAUCCAGGGAGCUUUGUGUGGAACAAUUUAUAGAAAAGAAGAACGUGCUAACCAAAUUCCUCUAAACCAAAGUCAGGCCUUUGAAAAAGAAAGUGAGCUAAUGAAAUGAUCUGCUCAAAAUCCCAGAUUCUUUGAGGGAGGGGGCUGAAAGAGUUAUUUCAUCUUAAAAGGAUCCAAGGUUUAGCUGCAAUUUCAGAAAUGGGCUUUCAGAUAGAGGAGGUAGAUCAGGGAUUUUGGUUUAUGUUUGAAGUACACUCCACUCCCAGAACCAGCAGCCUUUGAAUUUGUGAUGCUUUUAAAACAUCUCCAAAAUAAAAGUCCGUAAGGCUUGUACUGUCUCAGGAUAUUUCCUCACCUAAGACACAGUACUAUGUUAUCCUUGCUAGCAAAGAGAGAAGUGUCAAACUGAUCACCCUGUGUCGCAGAAGUGAUAUCCCUUUUCCCUAAUGCAUUUCCUGACUAUAAUGCUUUGUUUACUGACUGUAGGGCAACAUGCUGGGACAGAGAGAACCUUUUCAGAAGGUAUUUGGUUUUUCAAUAAUUCUUAGUACACCUGGUAGUUAUAAAUAAUGGCAUUCAGUAAAGAUAUUAGCUAUCAGUUUGAAAUGGAGAGGCUUUCUAAUUAUCCCUUUCCUUCUUCAGCCAGAUAACCAAAAAGGUUCCAUUUUACAAUGUAUAGUGUUCCCUCACUUAUCAAGGGAGUUACAUUCCAGGACCACCUGCAAUAAGUUAAAAUCCAUGAAGUAGGGACACUAUAUUUAUUUUAAUAUUUAUACAUUAUUUUAGUAGUUAUACACUAUUUUAAGUCUUUAUCAACCAAUUGUGUGUUGAUAAAUUGCCUCCUUCUUCUCCCGUUGCCACUUGGGCUCCUUUUCUCUCCCUUUGGUUUCUCCUUCCUCCCCUCCUUACGCUGUAAAUUGUAAUUUUUUAUGAUUUAUAAUAUUCUUUUAGAGUUUAUUGAAAAACCGCAAAACAGUGAAUCCAUGAAAAGUGAACCGCUAUAUACAUGGCAGGGUGGGGGGGGGGGGGGUUGCAUAGUGUUGACUAUUCCCUAAUAUAAUGCAUACAAUCAGUAUGACUGAAAGUCAUUAUUCCAUGAAUUGUCUAUUCUUUUAAAACUAUCUAACAAAAGGUACAUCACCAAAUACAAUUUUAAAACUCAAGAUGGAUGCAGGACUACACCUACAAUUGUACAGAUAAUGGCAACUGAAAGGAAGAUUUACAUUAGACAGGAAAAAUAUUCGAUUUGAAAGAGAACAAUCAAAAUUUGAAAAGGAAUCAUGUACUAAUGAAGAACACCUUAUUGGAAAAAUAUAUAAAGCAUUACUGAGGAUGGAGCCAGAACUGUAAAGGAAUGUAUGAUUACGUGGCCACAACAUGUUGGACACAACAAAGAAUUACAUAAAUAAGGAAAAUGUGGACCGUUGCGUUAAAGAAAAAAUUGUGCUGUGACCGUAGAGAAAAUUAACAAAUGGUACUUGAUCUCAGCAAAGCUUGCUAAAAUAUAUAAGGAAAGAAACACCAAGUGUUGGAGAUGUAACGAUCAAGAAGAAGAAGAAAAAAACUUUAUUUAUAACCCACCUUAUCUUCCUGAGGGGACUCAGGGCGGUUUCCAACAAAAGAUGGCAAACAUUCAGUGCCAUAAUAAACAAUAGAAACAAAACAUGAUGAAACUUUCUACCACAUGUAGUAGUCUUGUAAAAAAGCAAGGGAAUUCUGGGACAAGGUACAUAAAAAAACACUAAAGGACAAAGAUAUAAUUAGAGCCUGAAUUAUUUUUAUAGGGAAUGUUAAAUAAGCAAACAAAAUACGUGAUAGUUGCAGCAUGGAUGCCAUAUGCACAACAUUGGAAAAAGUCAUACCUGCAGACAAUAAAAUAAUGGCUUGUAUACAUUUUUAGAAUAUCAUAAAUUAAUAAAUUGGCAAUGACAAAGAAAGAAAAAACAAAAAUCCUUUAUCAAAAGCUUGGAACCAUUUUUACAUUUUGUAAAAAAAUGAAAGAAAGGGGAAAAAGUUUUUAUAGAAGAUUUCUAACUUGUGUAUGGAAUCUAUAAAUAAUAACUAUUAUGCUAGACUUAAGUAUUGAAAAAUAUUAUAAUAGGAAGGAAGAACAAAAUUGUACUAUAUCUAGCCGAAAGGAUGGGAAGUCACCAUAACAGGAUGGAUGGGAUUCCCUCCAAUGAUCAUCAAGUAAAAUUGCUGUAUAGAUGUUAGGAAAUAUUGCAUUGGUUCAUGUGUACCACACACAUAAAUGUGUGCAUAGAUUUUUAUUCUAUUUGAUAGAUAUGCAAAUUUAAAAAUAAAAAGAUAAAAAAGCCCAUCACCAGGUUUCAUGGCAGCAAAUAUUUAUGUUUUGCCAUUCUGUGAAGAAUGAAUGUUCCUCCAGCUCUGAACUUUGUUCUUGCUAUGUAUAGUUUUUUAAACUUUUAUCAUAUCAAUAAAAAGCCACAAGCACUUCUAUCUUUCGUAAUGGAAAUCACCCUGUUUUUGAUAUUUUAUUUCUGUACCUUUUAUGGCUUUAUGAAAUGUCUUCCGUAAUAGGUCAACUAGAACUGUACAAAGUAUUCCAUAUGUGGUGGUGCCAUGGAUUUGUGUAAGUGGUUUUUUCUGAUGCAUUUCAAGUUCAGGGAGAUUAUAGAGAGAAACUGUCUUUAAGUCCAACAACCUACCAUUGAAUUCUAGCCAAUGCUAUUCACUUUGUAAAGAAAUAUUAUAUUUGAAUGGUUAUAACAGAAUCAAUGGAAUUUCAGAUAAGUGUUGACUUACCAUGGUUCUUACAAAUUUGGAGUUAUUGGAUUUGAGCCAUAAUUAUUAUUGAAGCAUUGUGCUGAUACCUAUUUGACACCUUUCCUUUUUAAUUUCAUUUGCUAAACACUUUGCUGUCUUUUUUUUAAAAAAAUCCUGCUCAGUAACCAGCAUGAACAGCAUGGGCCUAUUAUUCUCAUGUAUAAGGUACAGAACUAAAAUUGUUAGAAAGGAAGUGAGAUGGCUCAAGACAGAAUCAUGAUUCUGUUGCAGAAGUGGAUCAUGUCCCCAGGCUUAAAAAUACAAAUGACUGGACUAGAUCUUUGCACUCCAUGGGUAAGCUUUUGUUCAAUCUUUAAUUAAUAGAUCUUGCCUCAUACUCUCAAGCCUCAUUUUAGUCCUAUUUGUGUAUUAAGCCUGAAUAGGGCACAUUUAAUGGGUGGGUAAAAACAUGGAGCCAUACUUGCACCCUCUCAGUUCCUGAUUUUUCAGAAUUAAACAUUGUGUGAACAUGUGCUUGCAUUUCCUUGAAUGCAUGCAAAACUCCUUUUGUAAUCAGGUACGCCCAUGAAGCAAGGUUCAUGAGCAUGCUGAAGUUCUUCUCAUGUUUGACAAUAUAAUUCCUGUUCAAAAUUCAGGAAUUGACAGGGUGGGGCCAUAGCCCACUUGACACACGGUCCCUACUCAUGCCCCUACUCAUGCAUUUGUGUGCUCUGUUUAAGCAUAAUGCCUAAAUAGGGCUUCUCUAAUUUGCAAAAAAUAUGGUAAGCCUGUAACCCAGAUGCAGAGUUCUCUGACAUCAAAGAUGCAAAGAAAAUAAUAGAGGCAAGCCAUCAUUAAGCGGCAGCUCCCACUGAACCUUAACUAGAAACAUCAUACUGAGGGACAAUAAUGUUGUGAGACUAUUAAGUCAAAGGCUAUGCUCAAAAAGGAUAAGAAAAUAUAGGCUUGGAAGGAGAUGAGCCUCAUGCGUCCAAUGCAGCAUUUCAAGUUCUAUUUGCAUUUCUAAUAAUAUCCUCAGAACAAGCAUGAAUAUGUAGCUUUGCAGGCACGUUCUAUGUGGAGAGAACAGAGUGGGUUCAGUUCAGUGGUGAGAUGAGAUUCAUCAGAGCAGGCAAACAUGUGGCAAUUCUAAGUGGGAGGGUGAAACACAGACAAGAGAAUCGUGAAGCUGAUUCAUUUGGUGAAGCCCAAUUACUUUGAGAGAAAUGGAUGAAGUCCAGAGAAUAGUCUGAAUGAGAAGGGGCAACUGCUCAGGGAUAUAAGGUAUAGUUUAUAUGCAGAGGUUCCCAGGAUCAAGUUCAGGUGUCACUAGUUAACCAAAGGUAUGUGGCAGCCGUCUUGUUAAGGCUAAUCCUCUUUGUGAUGUGGAAUCAGUGCCCAAAAGCAUCACUGAAUCACAGGUACACUAUCUUGAAUUUGCCAUUUAUUUUAAAGGGUUCAUUUUUUUGUAUUACUAGAAAAGUGCAUUUUACUCAUCUUGGCAGAUGUUUGUAAUUAUUUAAGAUUUAUAGACUGCUCAAUUCAAUAAAGCAUAAAGUAGUUUAUUAUGAUUUAAUCAAGCUUGUGCUCUUAACCAGGAACAGUAUCCUGAUGAAUAUAUGGAAUAAUAUCAGGGAUGUGAAUUUUCUCUGUUGCACUCAAGGAAAAAAAAAUUCUCCUCAGAAGAAAUUAUAAAACAAAAUAGUGCAUGUUUCCAGUGAAUGCUCACAUUUGAAGAUUUUCUUACAAAAUCAACAGCAAAACAGGCCUCUAUUGUACAGGGUGUCAGAUGGAUGCUAAGGUAUGUUUGGGACAUUUUUGAACAUGCUAAUAGUACCACAGUCAUAAACAUGACUACCAAACAAAUGUGUAAAUAAGCAUAAACAUCUGUAACUGCUCAACAGGAUGCUAGCCGUGGUGGGAUUUCUUCACAGAACUUUCACCAAAAAUCCCAAGGCUGAUGAUGAUUUUCUGGAAAAAGAUGCCAUGGUGUGGUAAAAGACACCCUGUUCUUGUUGAGGACAAAAAGAAAAAAGAGAUGGAAGAUUUUUUUUUUAUCUCUGUAGAUUCUAUAUAGGAAAGUGAGUGUCCAUCCCUCUCCUGUAUUGAGUGUGAAAAUCAAGUGGGCAGAGAGAAAAGGUAGGCCACCUCCUCUGCAGUCCACAUAGAACAUACAGCUGAAGCAUCUAGCCCUCUUCUGCCAUCAGGUGACCAAAAAAUACUACAUGCUAGCAACAUUUGUGAGUUUAUUAGCACAGGUGCUUCAAUGCCAGGAGAAUUAAAUUAAGACAGAUUGUAAUGACAUUUGAAGUCCUCUACUAUUACUCAAUCUAAUUACCACCUAUACUUAUGGUCUGCUGAAACGUGCAUGGCUUUUCACUUUGGUGAAUUUUUAGGAUAAAUAAAUUAUUUACCUUUGAAGAAGGAGGAAUAUCCUAUCAGACCAAUAAUGUGUGGCUGUUCUGAUGUCAGUGGAACUUUAAAGGAACUAUCCAAAGUGUAUAGUUGAGAAGUUAGGGUUCUGCACCUGUAAAUAUGGCCAAAUACUUUGGAUGAAUUCAAAGCUCAUAGACGUGAAAGCUUCCAGGUGCCACUGAAUUAAAAUGAUUUCCUCUGCCUUCAUUGCUUCUGAUUGUGGUUCUUAGUUUUCUAAGAUCUACAGAGAUACUCACAGGAACACCUCAGCAAGCGAGUGUGCAAAAGUGGCAGGCUAAAAUCCAGAACUUCAAUCAGUGGCUGACGCUGGAUGAGAGACCCCCCCCCCCCCCCUAAGCACACAGAAGACUGGGCGACUUGGAAGGCACUGAACAGACUGCGCUCUGGCAUUCCCAGGGAGAUCACACUGGCAGCCUUUAAGAAAGACUUAAAAACCUGGCUCUUCCAGUGUGCCUUCAACAACUGAUCACAAGAAUAACCUCCUCAGCAUUGGUAUUAUCGGGCCUGAUGUACCGUUUCCUGCCCUUAUUUGGUAAUUUCUUUCCUCGUCUAUCCCACCCUUAAUUCUCCUCUUUACUACAGCACUUUUAUCUACUUCAUCAGAUUUUAAUCAUGUACUCCUCGCUCUACUGCCCAGCCUUUUACUAUUAUAACCUACUGUAUUGUUUUUAUUUGGUGGUUUUACCAUUAUAUAGUUGUUGAAAUGUUGGUUUAAUUGUGUAAUGUUAAAUGUCAGUGAUGUCUGUUUUAUUUUGAAUGCAUUUUAUCUUAUUUAUUGUGGAAAUUUGGGCUUAGCCCCAUGUUAGCCGCCCCGAGUAGUUGCGGGUAGAUGGAGGCGGGGUACAAAAAUAAAGUUAUCAUCAUCAUCAUCAUCAUCAUCAUCAUCAUCAUCAUCAUGAGAUGCAGAGCCAACCUUAAGAAAUAGGGCUACAAAGUGGAGUCCAUGACAUGCAAGUGUGGAGAAGAGCAAACCACAGACCACCUACUACAAUGGAGUCUGUACUUCUGGUCCCAAGCACAGAUAUGGGACAAUCAACCUGUAGUAUGAUUGGCAUGGUGGCAACAUUCUCCCUAAGUGAAAUGGGGACAGGAGUAGUCAGUCACUAGAAUAAAAAACUCCAGUGCAUAGGGCAUUCAUCUUGUGAUAGUGCCUUGGAGUCAGUUAUGAUCUGAAAUAGCUUCUAACUACUGGCUAAGAGAUGAAAGUUUUCGAAUCUGAUUACCAGACUACUGAGCCAUUCAUGUUUACUAUAGAAUGUACCUAAAUAUGUAUAUGUAUUUCUGGUUAAGAUAAAUACAUUGAAAAUGGUCACACUUAGAUUUAUUAUUCUUCCUCAUCCUGGCAUUUGGGACAUUGUUAUUUUAGACAUAUUAACCAUGGUGAGAGUGAAAAGGUCACAAAUCAGCAUGGAGCCAAAAAAAGCCAUCUAUGUCCCAAACGCCACUUCCACACAGAUCAGUUCACAAACUAUGAGCUGCUAUAAAGGGGAAAAUACUAGAAAUAAAAACCUGAUCAACUGUCAAUGAGUCUUAGAAAUCAAUUUCAAGUCUGCCAUCUUGUAAAGGGAUGGCCUACAGUUCAAUGGUAGAACACAAAACUUUGCCUAUGAUCAUGUUUACAGUUCCGGCUUCAAUCUCUAGGAAGGCCAUUCAAGUAAUCAGACAGCUUCUACUUCACUGCAGUUAAGAUUCACAGUGGUUUGACUGUAGACUGAAAACCAAACCUCAGAAACAUCAGGCAAGAAUUCAUUCAUGAUUCUACCAUUACCUCUGAUGUAAAGCUCUAGUAAAAUUAUACAAUAAGUGGAGAAGCUUUGGCUCCCUGGAAAUUUUAGUCUACAAUAGCCCACAAUAGCAUGGCCAGCCAUGGUGUAGGAUCAGGAGAAACAAAGCUUCCCCAGCCAAGAGUGGGAGGAAUUUGUCCCUUCAGUUGUUUUAGACAAGAGUUCCUACAAUCCGUUAUUAUUUGCCAUGGUGGCAGGGACUGACUGGCGUCGAUUCUAAAACAUGGCAAAGGCUACAGUUUCUGUACCCCAAACUAGAUCACCAGUUCAAGCAAUGGGAAUGUAACUUGAGUUGUAAUAGAUAAAAUACAGAUUGUAUGGCAAGGGCAUUCCUCUACAAAAUGGCUUUUGCCCUCUCUCUUGCUCACUCUCUUUUUUUCUCUCUCCCUCUCCUUCUCUCUCACUCUCCCCCCAGCUUGUUUGGACAUCCACUGUAGAUGUAUCUUCAUCUAACUUUAGUAUUAGAUACCGGACCUAAAAUUUCUAUUCUGUUAUGUGAAUGAUCUAAGUUGGGUUUGGUUUGCAAAGUGAUAUCAAACUGCCAGUCAGGAUGGUUGGUAAUAGAACUAGCACUGUUUUUCAGUCAGUUUCUACAGAGCAGUUUUAUGCUCUAGUAGCUAAGACUUCUAGCCAUACUGUAUAUUUGAUUCUUGGUGGAUUUGAUUCACAGGGGAUCUUCUCUUAGUGCCCCACAAACGCUCACCUAGGCAUUAUCCUGAAGGCAUUUCUUUUUGUCCAGGUCAUUCUCUUAUGGCUGUCAAGCUGCAGUGAUGGCAAAUAAGCAUGUGUCUGCACUGCUGGAGUUUCCUGCUUCUGGACUUAGAGAAGAUGUCUUAACAGAGAUCUAUAGCCUAAACAGAGAUAACAGUACAGGCAAUCUCCAAGUUACAAACAAAAUAGGUUCUAUUGGUUUGCUCUUAAGUUGAAUUUGUAUAUAGGUCUGAACAAGUACCCGUGUGUGUUUUAGAUAGCAUAGGGAAGGGUAAACACUCCUGUGGUGUUUGUUUUGCUGUUUGUGCCCCUGUUCAAAAGAUUUCACUUCACUUUCCCUAUAAUAAUGGGGAAAAAUUGAAAAAUGUGGCUUGUUGUGGAAACAAGAAAUGAUGAUAAAGCUUCCGGGAGGUAACCUUGAUAUUUCUUACAGGAGUAAAUUUCCCUUCCUAGGAGUAGAUUUCUCUCACUUCCUGUUGUCUCACUCCUGUUUUUAUAAGUCAGAUGGUUGCAACUCGGGACUGUCUGCAGUGUGGUCUAGGACAAUCCCAUGCAAACAUAAUUAUUUUAUAACAGAAUGAUAGCAUAGCAAAAUACCUUCAUCUUUAAUGCAGGUGACAGCAUAUCACUGAGGAUUGGGAGAUUACAAUAUUUAAGUAUUGCUUUAUAAACUGUUUUGUUUAAUUCAUAGGUUGACGGAUGACUUGCAGGUACAUACGUACACCUGGAGUGUUUAGAACAACAAAAUAUAUUGUGUGGCUCAUCAGAAGUGUCAAACUGUAAUUCCCAGAAUUCCUCACCAUUGCCAGAUGAGGCUCCUGGGAGUUACAGUUCAUCAACACCUGGACGGCUGCACAGUUCUCAUCUCUGGUAUCUGUAUAAUAUAAUUGCAAUCUGGGCCAGGUGUACUGGCAUUAUGAGUCAACUAGGAAAAUUAAACUGAUUAUGUGGUGCAAUACAGUAUAAACAGCUUGAGAAUAGAUAAUUAUGAGCAAGGGAAUAACUCACCCAUAAUCCAUGAAAGCAAUUUCAGGUACCAAGGUUCCAACUACAGUGUUAAGAACCUGCAGAGAUAGACUUUCAAUACCACAGCAGGAUUGUCAAGGACAGAUGGUUACAUACAGGUAGGAUAUGAAAUAUUACCUCAUCACAUGGGGGGACUCCCCCUGUACAGUUUUGCCAGCCUCCAUGAAGAAAUGGCAGGGAUGAGGGGUGACUAUGUCACUAUAAUUGCAGUGACUCUUAAAAGAUCACAUAGGGGAAGCAUUGCCAAAGCAUCAUGGAUCUGUGGAGUCCAGCACAACACAGGAAGUCUCCCAUGUUGCAAGGGAAGCAUCAUAUGACACUUUCACUCCAGUUGUGGGUGGGGCCUUUGCCAGAGGUCCAGAGACAUCAUGUGAUGGGCAGUGUAUCCAUCUGUUGCUGGAUUAGCAGAGAAAAAGCCUAGGACUCUAAAAAAAACAAAAACACAACUCCAUGUGAUUAGAUCAUUCAAAGUAGCUCAGUUGGGAGAAUGUUAGGAAGACCAUCCGAAGAUCCCUAAUUUCAUCAAAGGACCCAUCCAGACAGGGUACAAAAUGCCCACCCUCCUGGAUAUUUGCAGGGCGUGUCCAAAGAAGCUCCACAAAAACACGAAUGCUUUCGGCACAUAGCAGGAAAACCCUGCUUUGUGCCAAAGUAAUUUGAUAGUGGGUUUGAUCCGCACCUUCUUGAAAGGCAUGGUCAAACCCACUAUGGCUGCUGUUUGGACUGCACCCUCAGAAGUCCUGGACUUGUGAGUGGGAAGUCCAGACUUCUCUAUUGCAUUUUCCAGGCUGAUUCAGCCUGGAAAAGUGUGAGGGCAUCAACCUGCUCCCCUGCUACACAUCAGGAGAGGGCUGGCAACAGGGAAAUGCUGGCCCCGUAAGUUAUUUUAUUUUAUUAAAGUCUUUUUUGGCAGGUGGUUCGGGUGUUUUCCUGUCUCCUGGAAGAUACUGGGAGGACAUCUAGACACCCCCUGCAAAGAAGCGUGGGCUUUUGGGGCCUGUGUGCAGACUACAGUCUGCCCUGACCUUGCUUUCUUAAACCCGAAUCGGGAUGGAGAUUUCCGCUGAAUGGAAUUGCCCUAAGACUUUUUGAAAAUGGCCAGAUUUGUUACAGGGAGUUUCACACUACCAAGGUUAGAAUUCAAAGAUUAGUAGCUGAACUGCAUUUUGAAAUUCCAAGUACUCCAUUCAAAGCAGGCAUGAAUUUAGCCCCCUUUUCCAGUUUCAGUUUUCAAUAUUCAGUUUCUCCAGAAAUUCAUGUCUGUUUUUCAAUGCUACUGUCAUGUGGUGGUUUCCUAGCUUGUGUAGGUGUUUUUUCCAAUUGUAAUGAAAACAUUAGUUAUUAACAACAAGAGCUUUAAAUUAACAUAUGAUAUUUAAGGUCUCCAUUCUUUUUUCUAACCCAGCAGUUGAAGGAAACCUCUGAGGGCUUUUUAAAAAGUGAAUUUAGUUUUUGGGCUGAAAGAGGUUUCUCACUCUUGACUAUUGACCUUAUCAAAUGGGGUAAAUUUCAUGGCAAUGCUGGUUCCUCUUUAGUUUUGCAACAGAGCCCAAUGGCUCCCAUCCCAGGAUGUACAGUUACUUCUGGCAGGGCUCCGUUGCAAAACUAAAGAGAACCCAACAUAUGCCACCAUGUAGAGCCGGCCCUAGGUAUUUUUCAAGUGUAGGCGAACAGAAUUUUGGUGCCCCCCCAAAAACCAAUCACUGAAAAAUAAAAGCGUUGGAUAAGCGAAAAUGUUGGAUAAUAAGGAGGGAUUAAGGAAAAGCCUAUUAAACAUCAAAUUACAUUAAGAUUUUACGAAUUAAGCACCAAAACAUCAUGUUUUACAAGAAAUCAACAGAAAAAGCAGUCUCGACUGCGCCCCCGUAUGUUUUACGCCUGAAGCGAUCGCUUAAUUUGCCUCAUUGUUGGACCGGCCCUGCCACCAUGGCAGUAACACAUGAAGCUUCCUGUGUUACAUUGAGAUCAACAGGGGGAAGACAGGUAGCAAACACUUCCCCAUGUGGAAUGAGGUAGGGAGGAAGCUAGGCAAUGCAGGGCAUGAGGUGAUAGGUUUCAUCUGCCAGGCACUGCUGGAUUUGCCAUGAUCUGUGGUGAUUCUGGAGGCACAUAUGAUGAGGUCCCAGGUGAGACAUUGACAUGAAAACAUGGAGAGUCAUAUUUCAGUCAAAACAGACAAGACUGGUUAGGUGGACUGGCAAUACAAAGCCUCAUAUAUCCUUAUUAUGAAAGUAGCUAAGGCACACCUCUAAAAAUAGUCGUACUUUCUUUCACAGAAAGAACCCCUGCCUAGCAUACAUAGUAUAUCUAGAAGAAAAUGUCUACCUUUCUCUUAGAGGUGAUGAUUUUCUAUAUGUAUAUUUCCUCUUGUAUGGGAGAGCAUUCAAACAGAAGAUUCCCAUUGGAGAGUUUCCAUUUCAUUUUGAGAGCUUCCAUAUCUAGACAACAGUGUCCCAUUGCAUCAGCCCAUUCCAGGAAUUAAUAUAUUUCAUGCAAUCAGAAUUGCAAGAAGGGGGAUAGGAGUGAGGAUGGUACUAGCUCGGUCCUUCCCUCACUUUCCCUUCUCUUAUGAAUGGUGGCUUUUUGAAGCAGGAUUUGACUUUGGCAUGGGUCCAUGGGGUAUGGAUUUUUUUUUGGAAUUUGUAGCAUUAAGUACUUAAAUUUUUUUAGAGAAUCUGACUGCUGGAGUGCACUUGAGCUUUCUAGCAAGACUUCUGAGUACCUCAUCAAACUAAAAAUUCCUAGAUUCUGUAGGAUGAAUCCACUUAAAAUGAUCUCAGUCUGUUGUAAGUAUUAUUAGCAUCCUGGGUAAAUCCAUUCUGCACAAUUAUAGCAGUUUGAUACCUCUUUAAAUAUCACUUCCAUCUACAGAAUUCUGGGAUUUGUAAUUUGCUUGUCUAGUGUACUUUCUUGAAUUACAGCAAAAGAGAUCUCUGGUAGACAAUUAUGAGUAGUACCCCAUGAGACUGCAAAUCCCAGAAUUGCAUAUGAUGGGACCAUGGCAAUUAAAGUGUUACCAAAAUAUAAUAUGGAUACAUUCCAGGAGACAGCUAGUCUUACUGCAAAUAGUUCAGUGUAAGUACAGAUGGUGGAUUCAGUUCUCCCAAUUGUCUUGGAGAUUUAGAACAGCUGAAGGGGACUCUGUCAAUUUCAUAAAUGACUAUUUCCUGCGAAAAAGUGGAUAUAAAUCUGACUAGCCCAUUGCAGACAAAGUGACCAGCAUGCCAUGGUUCCUAGAUUACAGCAUUCUUAUCAGAGCAAUUAAUUUCACCCUGCAUCCCUCUCCUCUCACUUUCUUGUUUUCUCUCUGGCUGAAAUUCGCUCAGCUGUCACUGGUCCCAUCUAUCACUGGGAUACAUCUGUACCCAUUGACUCAGAAAGGACCCACUUCCACUGAGUCUUUGCUCCACAUAUUGUCACAGCCCUGAGGAACAAUCUGUUACAAACAUAAAUCUGGUGGGUUUUUUCAUUAGAUCAUUUAUCACAUGGAGCAGAGUUUAAAUUUAUCCAAAAUGCUCCCACGAGUAAAAUUUCUCUCAGAUUCUGACUCAUUGUGUUUUACAUUUUUUUAAAUAGGAAAAAAACCCACCAGCUUCAGAAAGCAGCAGAACUGGCAUUCAAACUGCAUUCAGAAAGACACAGAUUAGUGGACUGUUUUUGAUGGUUGGAGGCAUUUUAGAUCAAACGAGCUGCGACACCUUUGCCAAACCAAUGGACAAAACUUACAUAAUUCUUCACAGGAAGGAUGGGAAUUUAGAAGCGAAGCACGAGGCAGUUCUUUGGCAAACUAUAGUGGUUUCAGGAUGAUAGUGGCAUGGGUCAAGGCUCAGCAUGCUGACAGGAUUAAGAAGUAUCAAGGAACAUCUGGUAUUUUUCUUUGGUCUUGAGAGGUUUGUUGAGGCACAUUAAAGCUGUACCUGUCUCCAUGCACAGAUGUCUGGAUACAUCUCAGAUGUCUCUUCAGCUUUUGCAGAUUUCACUGGGGUAGCAAAAGAGCAAAAGGGAUUUUGCCAGAAAUAUCAGAGGUCUGCCUUUGAGACUGCAGAUAAGAGAUAACUGUCAAAAGUAGUACCCAUUGAUAGUCUCAUUCUCCAUGAAUGUAGGGGUCAUGGUACUAUAUAGGAUAUAGCAGGAGGGCAUUUUUCAAGAGGAGGGAAUAAGACUCAGUUAAACCCAAUGACACAUUCUAGGAUUCUGUCAAAGCUGCAAGGAAAGCUAUGCAUUUUAGAACAAUAUCUUAUGUUAGCUUACUCCUUUUUAAGGACUAGCUCAUGUAUCCAGUGUUGCCCAGGCAUGCAUAUUCUAAUGCUAUUAAUUGAAAUUACUCAUUAUUAGUUUUACAAUUUUAUCAAUGAUCUCAUUUAAAAUGUAUACCAGUAUAAUGAGACCUUUUAUAAAACCAAAUAGUUGGUGGGUUGGAAUUCCCAUUAGCCCAAGCCCUGGUGAGGCCGCAAAUCCCAACAACCCCAGGUGUGGUCAUUGUGAGAGGGUGCAAUUCUCAUCAGCCCCAGAUCUGACCAGCUUGAAAUGUCAUCAGGCUGUGUUGCAACCGUCAAUGACACAGGUCUCUGAAUGUGGCUGGACCCCAACUCCCAUCAUCCUGAAUCAGGCUGUGUUCUAAACCCUGCCAGUUUUUAAACAUGGAUCAUGAAGUUUGGUACAGAUCUUUCGUGAGUGCGAUUUACAUGGCUGUCUGGAUGUGGCUGGAUUACAAUGCCCAUAAUCCUCGAUCAGCCCCCACCCACAUCCCACCAAUAGUUUAAAAUGGACUAUGAUGGGUACCAAGUUUGGAAGAGAUCCAUUCAGGGUGGAAUUUACAUGACUCUCCACAUAUGGAUGGACUACACCUCCUAUUGUCCUCUUUCACCCCCCCCCCCCCUUUACACACACAAUUUCAAUUGUUUCAAGUUGAAUGAUGAAGGGAAUAUGUGGCAAAUGUAGUCCAGAUCCAUCAAGCCACAUAGGAGCCUUUGUAGCUCAAACACACACACACACACACACACACACAUACAUCUCACAGAUAACCUCUAGCCCUUUACAUGUUCUUGGCAGCAAGUCCCAUAUGACUUGCUAACUAGUUGUGUUGGUCAAGGGUGAUGAGAGUUCUAGUCCAGCCACACAUUUGACACCCUCUUUUUGUUGUUUCAACCUAGGAUUUUUGCAGCUUUGGCAUACAUACUUACACGGGUGGACAAGUUGAGGUUGGAGGGAGAUCUAAACUAGGAUAGGGUGCAUUAGCUUGCUACUGGUGACUUCCAUCUGCUCCAGGUUUUACUUUGAACUUUAAAGAAGUGAUCUAAGGGAUCUGUAGAAAAGGAUACUACACUUUUCACAUUCCAACUAUAUCCCAUAGUAGAUUCACCACCUCACAUACAUACCAGACCAUUGAGGAUUUCCCCCCAUCAUUUGUGUAUGAGUCCAUUUUAAGUAUUAUAACAGGGGUCCCCAAACUAAGGCCCGGGGGCCGGAUGCGGCCCUCCAAGGUCAUUUACCUGGCCCCCGCCCUCAGUUUUAUAAUAUAAUAUUUUAUAUCAGUUUUAAUAAUAUAAUAUAUUGUGUAUACAUAUAAUAUUGAUAAUAAUCUUAUUAUUAUCUUGCAAUAUAAUAAUUAAUUAUAUGGUAUAUAUUACAUAUUAUAUAAUAGUAUAGUGGUAUAGUUCAAUAUCUAUCUAUCUAUAUAUAUAUAUAAAAGUGUGAUGGCAUCAGGGCAGCGGACAAAACAACAGAACUACAGGCCCCUCAACCUCGAAAUUUGACAACACAACCCAUCAUCCAUGCCUCUAGGUUGAUACAACAAAAAGAAAAGAAAAAUAAAGUUUUAACUACAGGGAGAGGAAUAAUAGUUUUUAUCCAAUUGCUGCCAGUUUGAAGGCUAAGCUCCGCCCACUUGGUCUCCUAGCAACCUACUCAGCCCAGGGGACAGGCACAGUUAGGCCUCACUUAGGCCUCUUCCACAGAUUAUCAGAUUUUAACUGGAUUAUAUGGCAGUGUAGACUCAAGGCCCUUCCACACAGCUAUAUAACCCAUUUAUAAUCUCAUAUUAUCUGCUUUGAACUGGAUUAUCUUGAGUCCACACUGCCAUAUAAUCCACUUCAGUGUGCAUACUAAACAUAAAGACAACCAUACAACAGACAUUCAAUACCACCACUACCUCAACAAUUUCUCACCAACACCACCAGACAACGCCACAGCAACGCAUGGCCGGGCACAGCUAGUAGUAAUAUAUAAUGCUAAUAUUGUGUUAUGCUAAUAAUAUAAUAUAUUGUAUGUACAUACAGCUGCUCUGAGUCCCCUUCGGGGUGGGAUAUAAAUGUAGUAAAUAAAUGCAGUAAAUAAAUAAUUAAUUUUAGACUUAGGCUCGGCCAAAGUCUGACAUGACUUGAAGGCACACAACAACAACAACAACAAUCCCAAUUAACUUGACUAUCUCAUUGGCCAGAAGCAGGCCCACACUUUUCAUUGAAAUCCUAAUAGAUUUAUGUUGGUUAAAAUUGUUUUCAUUUUUAAAUAUUGUAUUCUUUCAUUGUUGUUGUUUUUGCACUACAAAUAAGACAUGUGCAGUAUGCAUAGGAAUUUGUUUGUAUUUUUUUUUCAAAUGAUAAUCCGGCCCCUCAACAGUCUGAAGGAUUGUGGACCGGCCCUCUGCUUUAAAAGUUUGGGGACCCCUGUAUUAUAACAAUAGUCAAUGUGUAGAAUCAUGGAUCUGGAUACUAUGUCUCAGGCACUGAACUGAAAUGUCUUGAGUUAAUUUCUUUCCAAAGGUCUCUGAGGAAGGAAUCGAAUCUUAGAGUGAGGAACAUAUUCAGGCUUCAGGAUUACUUGAGCUAUUCACUCCAUCUGUCAUCAAAUUACUGUCAAUCAGUUGUCAGUCCCUGCCAUGGGAUACAUUGGGCAAAAACAAAGCCUGAAACAGUUUCUUAAAAUAGAGAAACUGGAAACUGGAUCUUCUCACAUAGACACUCUCAGGCUGAAACUAUAGGGGGGAGAGCAUUGACCCCUCAUAAGAAUUCUGUCACUCCCAAAUGAAUUUUUCAUUCAUUCCCCAAAUUUCUGGCAAGAUUACAAGAUAAAACUUCAGAAUCAUCUUUAGAAACACAGUUUAGAUGUCCAGAGAACAAGGUCAGUUAUGAAUGAAGGGAAUGCAAAAACAGCAAACAGAAGCAUUAAAUGUGUACAUUAUUUUUUAUUAUUGUUGAUAUCUUACCGUCAAUGUACGUGGUGCCUUACAAAUCAAACAACCAAACACUGUGGGUCGGCCAAAGCUGUACAAUCAAAAAUAUAUGUGUAUACACAUACACAGAAAGGAGGAAGAAAUAUAAAAAUAUAAUAUUUCACUACACAAUUGUAAAACAAAUGAUUCAACAAAUAACAAAUGGUCUUCAAUAUUUCACUUUCUGGGAUACUAGACAUUUGGGGCUGAAGGAGUUGUCUUUGAAGGGCAGAUGUCUUAUUUGAAAUAGCAAUGCCUUUGUUUUGUUUAGCCCCAGUCCCCAAUAGCUAUAUUCUUUGUCAUUUUUCCUUCUCUCUUUUUUUUGAAGGGGGCAGAAGGGUAACAAAAGUAGAUUUACUUAGAGGACCUUUUACCAUUGCCUCCCUCUUAGGUCUCUUGAGAGCGAUUUGCUCAAGGUCGCACAGUAGAUUUCAGUGGCUGAGCAGAAAUGUGAGCCCUGGCCUCAUAAAAUCUCAAUCCAACACUCAAAACCACUAUACCAUGCUAGCUGCCUUUGACAACUGAAGUCUCAAAUAAUAACAUUUUGGUCCACCCUGGGCAAUCACAUUUUUAUUCAGAGCUCCAGAAAACCCUGCGUUCUAUUUUACUGUGUGAAUGUCUCAUUGACCUUUAUUAGGGUGAUAUAUUGCCAUGGUUAUGCAAGCGCAACUUCUUUGGAUGGGGAAAGGAGUUUCGUAUGUGGAUCAAAGGAAGAGUAGGUCCCUGAGGGAAUUAUCAGACAUCUUCCCAUCAGAGCUGUAGAAAUUAUCAACUUCCUCUGUUACAGUGAAGAAAUUUAGUUUCCUGGUGCUGUUAUGCUUCACAGACAUGACUGGAGCUGGCUUUGCCUCUAAAAUACAGCAUCCCGGAAUGCCUUUAAGGAAAGACAUUUUUCACACAGUGCCACUGUGAACAUACUGAUCCUUGAAGAAUGGAUGAGCUCCCUAUAUAUUCUUUGAUAAAAUGACAUCUCUAAAAGGCUUUGCAUUCAACACAUACAAUAGAAGGAAGAACAGUGCAACUUGUAAUGCCAAUUUGAAAAUAAUUAUUGUAAUAAUAAAAUAGACAAAGACCAUAUUGUCUCCAUAGCUCUAGAACUGGGAAACUUAGAAUACCUCCCAAAAGAAUAAUAGCUGUUCCUGAAAGCCCCAAAGAGCAAGGUCAUAUGUCAUACCUUUUUAAGCUUUUUUUUUUUUUUAAGUUUUAGAAAACAAAUUUGAAGGGGCAGGACUGUACCCUGUAGGAAUGAGACUCCUUCUACACUGUCAAAUAAAAUCCAGAUUAUCUGCUUUGAACUGGAUUAUAUGGCAGUGUAGACUCAGAUAAUCCAGUUCAAAACAGAUGAUUUGAAUUAUCUGCUUUGAAAAUUUGAAUUUUAUGGCAGUGUAGAAGGGGCUGAGACAAAUUUGUUGAGAUUAUGAAGAGAAAACUCGAUAUGGUGCCACAUGCAUAUAUAAGUGAUAGAAAUUUAAUCCUCCCCAUCAGACAAAAACGUCGAGAUUUCAGAAGAGGUAGUGUAAUUUAUGUGUUAUUUAUUUAUUUAAUCGUGUCUGAAGUGGACUGAGGGUACAGUUGUAACUUGGCAUUAUACUAAAUGUCCUUUGACCAGUAGCUGGCCACUUGAAAUGCCUUUGGUGUUGCUAUAAGAAGGUCCUCCAUUGUGCAUGUGGCAGGGCUCAGGCUGCAUUGUAAUAGGUGGUCUGUGGUUUGCUCUUCUCCACACUCACAUGUUGUGGACUCCACUCUGUAGCCCCAUUUCUUAAAGUUGAUUCUGCAUCUCGUGGUGCUAGAGCGCAGUUUGUUCAGUGCCUUCCAAGUCGCCCAGUCUUCUGUGUGCUCAGGAGGGAGUCUCUCAUUCGGUAUCAGUCAUGGGUUGAGGUUCCAGGUUUUAGCCUGCCACUUCUGGACUCUCGCUUGCUGAGAUGUUCCUGUGAGUAUGUUUGUAGAUCUUAGAAAACUAUUUCUUGAUUUAAGACAAUGGCAUACUGGCUGAUAUCUGAACAUGGGAUGGGCUGGAGAUGUCACUGCCUUGUUCUUUUCAUUGCUAGCUGCUACUUCCCAGUGGAUGGGAGGUGGUGCAAUGGCAGCUAAACAGUAUAAUUUCUCCAGUGGUAUAGAGAGUAUACAUCUGUGAUAAUGUGGCAUGUCUCAUUAAGAGCCACAUCCACUAUUUUAACGUGGUGAGAUGCAUUCCACACUGGACAUGCAUAUUCAGCAGCAGAGUAGCAAAUAAUUAUGAAUAUAGUUAAUAAGUAGCCAUACUCUGCUGGAGAGAAUAUUCUAUUUCAAAUGAACAACAAUAGCUCUGUCUGGGCAAGAGACAGGGAUCCUGUCAGGAAGGGGUUACUCUUCCUUUUCACUAUUAUCUCAAUUAAACUUCCCCCUGAAUUUGUACUCCUCAAAGGAAGUAUUGUUCAUCUCUUCCUAGGGUGAAAAGCAUCUGUUAGUCUGUGGCAUGGCAGGGGUGCAAGCAGCAGCCACAUUCUUCCCCUUUUGCCCCAUAACAAAGUGGGGGGAGGACCCUUAACACAUUAAACACAAACAUGCAUUAAAUCCAGGUGUUUUAUUUUACCUGACAAUUUUAAAAAGAAAGAAAAUUCUUUACCAUUGCACAUGGGAAAGACUCUAAAGCCACAUAUAACUCAUGAUCAUAUUACUAGGCUAGCAUCAUCCACCAGAUCCUGAGAUUCCCAUUACAAGUCCCAGAAUUUUUGGCAGCUGCACAAACCCAAUUCUAAAAUACAGCAGCCUGAAACCCUUUCCAUAUGGUAAGAACAUCAAAUAAUUUAAGUUGAAGCUUGGUACAAGAAACAACUUGUUAACGAUUUUAGGAUUAAAGUGGAAUGGAAAUCCUCCUGAACAGAGAUCUAUUGCCUGUGUGAAGAAUUUUGAUAUAUAUUGUUUUCAUGUUAUAAGGUUAGAGUUUGACCAAAAUCACAUAUUCUGGGAGUUAUAAUGCCCCAAAUCCAAUUGCAGCUCCCAGUCACCAUGCUGCCUGAAAAUGUCGGGGAGUUGCAGUCCAAAACAUAACUUUGUCAAGCUCUGUGCAAAAUAUAUUUGGCCGUUUAGAAUUUGUUGCUUAAAGGCCUGAUUCUUACACUCACUAUGCAGGAGUGCUGGACUCAUUGCUACUGGGCUGCAAUAGCAAUUACUUACUACAUUGGUUUGCCAUUAAUAAAGCUCACCCUAUAGUGGUGAUUUGUUGGCUUUUGAUAUGGGGAGACUUAGAAUUGCAGCCAGCUGCAGCUUAGAGCAAAAUUCCUAGUUGCCAUUAGGAACCACUCCACCAGCCAAGAUCUGGCCCAUUACAAUUGGCUGUCUAAGAUAAAACAAGAAAUUGCAUCUCUGUCCCUGAGUGUUUGAAGCUCCCAAUUCCCAGAACUGAAAGCUGCUUUUCUUGCGGCAUAGAUCCCCUCUUUAUUAUGUCUUCUCCUUCAUUUAUUGUUUUCACUAAAAUGAGAUCUCUAACUGCUGCUAUUUAAAAGAGGUUUCUUAUUUGGCCUCAGUGAACCAAUGUAUGUGCCCUUUUCUCAUAUUCAAGGGCACAUACAUGAGUUCUCUGAAGUCAAAUGAAUUAUCCCCAUUAACACCCUUUUAAUGAUUUUUAUGAGGGAUUGAAAGGACACAUUUGACUUCCAUGUAAUGAUCCUCUGAGGCUCACAAUUGCUAAGGUAGGUGAGGAGUUCAGAACCCCUCUCCUGCAUCCACUCCCAAACCCAGUUUCUAUGUCUCUGCAUGAAGUGGGAAUUCUACUCCACAGGAGUUAAAAGAACAUUUCACACUCUGCUGGAGAAGGUUUUUUAUAAAAGGCAGCAUAGGAAAAAAACAACAUGCAAUACAUUUGCUGUAUUGCUCAAGAUGUUAUUGGAAGCUUAUGCACAUACAAACACACUUCUCCUUAUCUGGAAAAUAAACCACUUCCUCAUGUUGACAAUAAAAACUGGCAGACCUCACAAAGAAAGUUACUAAAAAUCAACUGUUCACAUGACAGAAACUUGUACAAGGUGCCAAGCAAUCUGUUCAUAUCCAAAUUUACUCAGAAUUUCCAUUGUUUUCCAUUACAUUUAUUUCCAGUAAAAAAAUUUAUAAGAAAACAAUAUUUGGUAAAUUGUGCUUCUUAGUUAUAAACAUUAUCACACUAACCUUUUGUCUUGUCCCAAUUGUAUCCUUUAAGCAAACAAGAACAUAUUGUUACUAGAAUAAUCACUUUCACAAUAGCACACACUUACGCAAUUGCUACAAUAAUGGUGGCACUUUGUUGAUGCAAAUCCCUGCAAUCAAUCUGCUGUACAGCCUUGCUUCAUACCAAAGUAUUUUGAACACAAAACAUGUUUUUUCCUCAUAUUCCUUUUCGGGGAAGGGGAAGGGGGGAAAGGAAUAAUAAUAAUAAUAAUAAUAAUAAUAAUAAUAAUAAUAAUAAUAACUGGGUGCCGUGCCAAAAGAUCUCAGCUGGCAUUUAGAAACAAUAAACAUUGACAAAAUUAUGAUCUGCCAACUGCAAAAGGCCACCCUACUGGGAUCUGUGCGCAUCAUCCGAAAAUACAUCACACAGUCCAAGACACUUGGGAAGUGUUCGACUUGUGAUUUUGUGAAACAAAAUCCAGCAUAUCUGUCUUGUUUGCUGUGUCAUACAAUAAUAAUCAUAAUAAUAAUAAACCAGUACAGGUGGUCCCGAUGGUAAUCAGCACACUGGGUGCCGUACCAAAAGCUCUCAGCCAGCACUUGGAAACAAUAAACAUUGACAAAAUUACGAUCUGUCAACUGCAAAAGGACACCUUACUGGGAUCUGCAUACAUCAUCCAAAAAUACAUCACACAGUCCUAAACACUUGGGAAGUGUUCAACCUGUGAUUUUGUGAUAUGAAAUCCAGAAUAUAUAUCUCGUUUGCUGUGUCAUACUAUGUCUUUGUGUCAGUAAUAAUAAUAAUAAUAAUAAUGAAAUAAAACAUAUAAGUAGAUAAAAGGUGUGUAGUAGAGAAAUAUGUGGUAAAGUUAUAAUGGAAAAGUUAAAAACGGAUAAGAAAUAUGAUUAAAAAUAUGUUUGAUUUUUUCUUUUACUGUUGGCUUGUAUACAAUAUGGCAUACUCCUUUGUCUAAGAUAUUGUAAAAAGAGCAAAUAAUGUAUACUUAUACAUUUUGAUUGAUAAAUCUAUAAAUAAAAAUUAUAUUAAAAAGAUUCACUGAUCUUUUUUCCCUCCAUCAAUGAAAAGGGAUGAUCCAAUUAUAACGGAAGCUCAGUGUGACUACUGGAUAGAUAUGAUGUUGUACAGCAAGCCCUAUUCAUAGACACUUUUAUCCUGCUGUAGUUGUGCUACAUCAGCCUCAUGUGAUAGUCCUACAUAUUCCCUUUGGUCAUUUUUGUAUCUGAUGUCCACAAAUACCCCGCUCCCCAAAAAGAGUUAAUAGUGAUUAAAUGGUCCUUGAAAACCAUUUUCAAAGCUUGUAAUCACAGUGGGUCUCUGAAAAGGUAGAUUGGCUCCAAGACUAUUGAAGAUGCCUUUUUGCAUGGGGCUGAGUGUUGAGCUUGUUCAGUGGCCACAAAAUGUUGUCUUUUUUGGGGGGAUGAGAGUGGUAUGUAGAAAUAUUAUUUUUAAAGGCUCAACUAGCUGCAACAUUUUUUUCCAGAUACUAUUUGAAUCCUGAUAUGAUUUGAAGCUUUUCACCAUGUUUUACACAUGAGAAGUAUAUCCAUGAUGCAUACAUCACUUUUAUAGCUCUUUAACUGCUAUUGCAAUCCAUCCUAUGGAAUGCUCAGUUUUAUAGUUUAAUGAUAUAUGUAGAACUCUCAGCUAAAAGCCUUUAAUGCAGUGGUUCUCAACCUGUGGGUCCCCAGAUGUUUUGGCCUUCAACUCCCAGAAAUCCUAAUAGCUGAUAGACUGACUGGAAUUUCUGGGAGUUGUAGGCCAAAACAUCUGGGGACCCACAGGUUGAGAACCACUGCUUUAAUGGAAUAGUUCUCAAACACUGGUCCUCCAGAUAUCUCAAACUUCAGGUCCCAGAAUUCCUGAUCAUUGGCCGUGUUGGCUGAAGCAUGGGAACUGAGUUUGAGAUUGAAAACUACUGCUUAUACAGGUCCCCAGUGUUUCUAAUUUGUAAAUUAGACUUGAAACUGGGCUGUUAAAGGUGGAAGCUCUGAUCAGUCUUCAGUCUAUCAAAAAGUGGUUGUCACCAAGGCUUUUUCUGCCUUUUUCUUCAUGACAAUUCCUAGUUCAGCUGGCUCAGGGCAGUCUUAUGAGUCCUACAACAGAUGGAUUUUCCACUCAAUCUCUUUUUGCUAUGCGGGAUGAUAGGACUCACAAUGAAGUCCUCCAUUUGAUUUGGGUGGCCUGUAGCCUAUAUAGAAUAUAAAAAUCACCAUGAGUAGGGUAGGAAGACAAUGAAUAGGGAAAGAGUCCUGGCAGAGGAACACUAGGAGUGUCUCCAUUAGAAUUGCCUAGCCGUGCUGUAAUUCCUCACCCUUUCCUAAUUUCUAUCAAUGUUAUCUGCAAGAAAGGGUUCAAUCAAAGUGAUGAAAUAGGGACAGACCAAAUUUCCAGAGCUUUGGCCUGCUUGUCCUGUUAGCUUUUUUCUAAACAAAUUAAUAAAUCCAAAAUUUACAUUUCCUCAGAAGCUGUAAUUUGAAGACACUUGCUUUUUCUUUUAGUUGGUUAGUAAAUGUUUUUAUUUGAUCAUUCAAAAUUUGUUGAUUUUGGCAAAAUGAUAAACAGUCUUUUAAAAAAAGAUGGCUUCUUGAUAAAUUAAUCAAAUCCUUGUGAAUUCCUUGCUUCCUUCCUCUCCUCUAAUUGGGGUUUUUGCUGUCUGAGUAAUCAAUUAGGCCCUGUGUUUAUUCACCCACAACAAUUAUUCUCUCUACAUUAGGGAAUGAAAUAAACACACUUCUCUAAUUUCUCUUUACAAAGGGAGCAUUUCCAUAGAGGUCAGUCAAAGCUAUUCAUUAACCAGUCUUUCAGUAAACACAUUGUGUCAUUCAAAUAAUAAUGAUCCAUAAAGGAAAUUGGAGCUGGUCCAAAUAAACUGUUUAACACUGUAACAUUCAACAUCUUAACAACUUACUUAAAACACAGCAGCAGAGAUUGCAGACAAAUUCCAAGAUAUUAACAUAUUAACACAGUGGCAUAUUGUAUAAUAUCCAUAUUUUCUUUUAAUGUAUUAAAUAUUAGGAGUUCUGAAAGAGUAGGACUUGGUGCUGAUUUUCUAAUAAUAAGCAAAGUCUGUGCAGGUUGUGAGGAAUAAAGAGAGUGACUUUCUUCUGACUGUCAGUUAUACUUGUGUUGGCGCUGGGUUGUUUACUUGCGAACCACAAACUGAAAUAAAAUGUAUAGCUUUGUUUAUGUGCAGGGCGAACCAUCAGUGUAGUGCUGUUUCUUAGGAUGUUAAAUUGUUCUAGUAAACAGAAUACAUUUUGCAACAAGGCUCACAAUCUCAAAGAGUGAAGCAUAUAGAAAGAUCGGGUAUGAAAUUGAUCAUUCUUUGUGUGAGGGAUUAAAGAUAGAAACACCCAUUGGUUUGAGUUGGAUUCAGCUUGCUAUGCUGUCUGAUGAGUUUGGGAAGUGGCAGUCCAAAGACAAUGUUUUCAAGCUCUGCCACAAACCAGUGUAUCAUGCAUGUCUCUUCUUCACCCCACUUUGCAGUACCCUCACUUUAGAAAAGAAGAGUGAAACUCACCCAGUGAGUUUCAUGGAUCUGUGAGACAAAGUACUUGAACCAAUGUUAACCACUGACACACAUUGCAGGUGCUUUCAUAUUACCAAUGAUAGUGCUCUGGUUCUGUGUUAACUACACUGUAUGAAUCCUGGGGUUUAUACAGUGCUUUUCAAAAUGAUGCUAUAUCUCUGCAGUCACAAACUGCCCAAAUAAUUAUGACUGCUAGAUGCUUCUCUCAGUGCACAAACAGCUCCCAGCCUCAGUCAUUCGCAAGAUGGUGCCCUGCAACAUAAGACCUAAUGAGAUAUUCUGCAUUUGUAGAGUUAAUUUUUAUGUUUGCUUCUGGCUCAAAAUGGUUAGUAAAACUUGAUAACUCAUUAAACUGUUUCUAACUUUUUGUAUAAUUGUAGCAUGAUGCCAUACUGCUUUGAAAUUGGGCCCAUCAUUUUGAAAUACCAUUUACUUUGGUGUAUUGAUUUGCAGACCCGGCUGCUGCUCAAUUUAGAGUCAAAAUAUACACUGUCAUAAGAGUAAGCCACCAUGAAUACAAGGGAUAUUUUAAUCAAAAAUAAUGUACUUCUAUGGAAACAGUCUACAAAAAAAGAAUAGACAGCAAUUUUAAUGUCACCCUCUCUGAUGAUGUCACCCAGUUGUACUGUUGUAAUUAAUGCUAAAAUGUGCAGACUUUGAAAAUAAAAAUCAUCAUAGAGUUGGAAGAGACAUCAUGGGCCAUCCAGUCCAAUCCCCUGCCAAGAAACAGGAAAAUUGCAUUCAAAGCACCUUUGUCACCUGAUUGUUGAAAUGUUGCAUUGUGCCGAAAGGACAGAAAACUAUGAAUGAACAAACUGUAUCUCAGCCUGCACCAUGAAUUUUGCUCAAAGAAGAUUUAAAGUUAUUAUCCUUUUUUUUUUU